rnacentral:rRNA from 1 species
UACGUAGGGUGCAAGUGUUCUUCGGAAUGACUGGGCGUCAAGGGCACGUAGGCGGUGAAUCGGGUUGAAAGUGAAAGUCGCCAAAAAAGUGGCGGAAUGCUCUCGAAACCAAUUCACUUGAGUGGGACAGAGGAGAGUGGAAUUUCGUGUGUAGGGGUGAAAUCCGUAGAUCUACGAAGGAAGGCCAAAAGCGAAGGCAGCUCUCUGGGUCCCUACCGACGCUGGGGUGCGAAAGCAUGGGGAGCGAACAGG